rnacentral:rRNA from 1 species
UGGGGAAUAUUGCACAAUGGGGGAAACCCUGAUGCAGCGACGCCGCGUGAGCGAAGAAGGUUUUCGAAUCGUAAAGCUCUGUCCUAUGAGAAGAUAAUGACGGUAUCAUAGGAGGAAGCCCCGGCUAAAUACGUGCCAGCAGCCGCGGUAAUACGUAUGGGGCGAGCGUUGUCCGGAAUUAUUGGGCGUAAAGGGUACGUAGGCGGUCUAUUAAGUCAGGUGUGAAAGCGUGAGGCUUAACCUCAUUAAGCACUUGAAACUGAUAGACUUGAGUGAAGGAGAGGAAAGUGGAAUUCCUAGUGUAGCGGUGAAAUGCGUAGAGAUUAGGAGGAACACCGGUGGCGAAAGCGGCUUGUUGGCCUGCAACUGACACUGAGGCGCGAAAGCGUGGGGAGCAAACAGG